rnacentral:rRNA from 1 species
AGUGGCGCACGGGUGAGUAACGCGUGGAUAAUCUACCCCAAUGAUCUGGGAUAACAUCUCGAAAGGGGUGCUAUACCGGAUAAGACCACGGGAUCUACGGGUUCUGCGGUAAAAGGUGGGGACCUUCGGGCCUACCGUCAUCGGAUGAGUCCGCGUACCAUUAGCUAGUUGGUGGGGUAAUGGCCCACCAAGGCAACGAUGGUUAGCUGGUCUGAGAGGAUGAUCAGCCACACUGGAACUGAGACACGGUCCAGACUCCUACGGGAGGCAGCAGUGGGGAAUUUUGCGCAAUGGGGGAAACCCUGACGCAGCAACGCCGCGUGAGUGAUGAAGGCUUUCGGGUCGUAAAGCUCUGUCAGAAGGGAAGAAAUGUAGGAGGGCUAAUACCCCUUUUACUUGACGGUACCUUCAAAGGAAGCACCGGCUAACUCCGUGCCAGCAGCCGCGGUAAUACGGAGGGUGCGAGCGUUGUUCGGAAUUAUUGGGCGUAAAGCGCGUGUAGGCGGUCUUUUAAGUCUGAUGUGAAAGCCCCGGGCUCAACCCGGGAAGUGCAUUGGAAACUGGGAGACUUGAAUACGGGAGAGGGUAGUGGAAUUCCUAGUGUAGGAGUGAAAUCCGUAGAUAUUAGGAGGAACACCGGUGGCGAAGGCGGCUACCUGGACCGAUAUUGACGCUGAGACGCGAAAGCGUGGGGAGCAAACAGGAUUAGAUACCCUGGUAGUCCACGCCGUAAACGAUGAGUACUAGGUGUUGCGGGUAUUGACCCCUGCAGUGCCGCAGCUAACGCAUUAA